ACGAACGCUGGCGGCGUGCUUCACACCUGCAAGUCGAACGGAAAGGCCUUUUCGGAGGUACUCGAGUGGCGAACGGGUGAGUAACACGUGGGUUAUCUUCCCUGCACUCUGGGAUAAGCCUGGGAAACUGGGUCUAAUACCGGAUAGGACCGCACUUUAGUGUGUGUGGUGGAAAGUUUUUUCGGUGUAGGAUGAGCCCGCGGCCUAUCAGCUUGUUGGUGGGGUAAUGGCCUACCAAGGCGGCGACGGGUAGCCGGACUGAGAGGUUGGUCGGCCACAUUGGGACUGAGAUACGGCCCAGACUCCUACGGGAGGCAGAAGUGGGGAAGAGUGAAAAAGGGGAGCAAGCCUGAUGCAGCGACGCCGAGGGGGGGAGGACGGCCUUCGGGUUGUAAACUCCUUUCGCCAGGGACGAAGCGUUUUGUGACGGUACCUGGAGAAGAAGCACCGGCUAACUACGUG
rnacentral:rRNA from 1 species